rnacentral:rRNA from 1 species
UACGGGGGGUGCGAGCGUUGUCCGGAAUCACUGGGCGUAAAGGGCGCGUAGGUGGUUUGAUAAGGGUGUGGUGAAAGUCCGGGGCUCAACCCCGGAUCUGCCGUGCCGACUGUCAAACUCGAGGGCUGUAGAGGCAGACGGAAUUCCGGGUGUAGCGGUGGAAUGCGUAGAGAUCCGGAGGAAGACCGGUGGCGAAGGCGGGUUGCUGGGCUGAUACUGACGCUGAGGCGCGAAAGCCAGGGGAGCGAACGGG